rnacentral:sRNA from 2 species
GUUUGCACUUGUCGGGGAAGGGUGAGAACCUUCGAUUAAGGUUCGACUUGAGCGAAAGCGAGAGAACGUUGCCAACGGCAACGGCCCGUAGGGUGAGGAGCG